GUAGGUGGCAAGCGUUGUCCGGGAAUUAUUGGGGCGUAAAAGCGCGCGCAGGCGGUUCUUUAAGUCUGAUGUGAAAAGCCCACGGGCUCAACCGUGGAGGGUCAUUGGAAACUGGAGAACUUGAGUACAGAAGAGGAAAGCGGAAUUCCACGUGUAGCGGUGAAAUGCGUAGAGAUGUGGAGGAACACCAGUGGCGAAGGCGGCUUUCUGGUCUGUAACUGACGCUGAGGCGCGAAAGCGUGGGGAGCAAACAGGAUUAGAUACCCUGGUAGUCCACGCCGUAAACGAUGAGUGCUAAGUGUUAGGGGGCUUCCGCCCCUUAGUGCUGCAGCUAACGCAUUAAGCACUCCGCCUGGGGAGUACGGCCGCAAAGGCUGA
rnacentral:rRNA from 1 species